rnacentral:rRNA from 1 species
UGGGGAAUAUUGCACAAUGGGCGCAAGCCUGAUGCAGCCAUGCCGCGUGUGUGAAGAAGGCCUUCGGGUUGUAAAGCACUUUCAGCGGGGAGGAAGGCGGUGAGGUUAAUAACCUCAUCGAUUGACGUUACCCGCAGAAGAAGCACCGGCUAACUCCGUGCCAGCAGCCGCGGUAAUACGGAGGGUGCAAGCGUUAAUCGGAAUUACUGGGCGUAAAGCGCACGCAGGCGGUCUGUCAAGUCGGAUGUGAAAUCCCCGGGCUCAACCUGGGAACUGCAUUCGAAACUGGCAGGCUAGAGUCUUGUAGAGGGGGGUAGAAUUCCAGGUGUAGCGGUGAAAUGCGUGGAGAUCUGGAGGAAUACCGGUGGCGAAGGCGGCCCCCUGGACAAAGACUGACGCUCAGGUGCGAAAGCGUGGGGAGCAAACAGG